rnacentral:lncRNA from 1 species
UUGAUAUUUCUUUCUCUUUUCUUCUGCUAAUCCUUCCUUUCUUUUGUUAAUCUUUAUCAUUUCUUCUGUUAUGCUUCUCCAUUGAUGAAGCAAGUUUGAUCAUAAUAAUGUUUGUGUGAAAGUGUCGAAUUCUUGGUAAAGGCUUGUUAAUGAAGGUGGAGGCGCGAUCGAUGCGCAAGCCUUUGGUGUUGUUCGAGCAGAGAGUUCGCUGCAAUCCAAACACAUAGUCAGAUCGAGAACAGGGCUAGGAGAAAAUGAAACAACAACAAGAGCCUACCGAAGCAUCGUGCACACUUUAUUCAUCAUCUCACUCGGCGACGCAACACCACGGACGAACCAACGUCCUCAUCUUCGUCUGAAUCAAACACGCGACGAAACGGAAUACCAAGACGAGGAGCAUGAUUCUUGCGCAGAGGAAUUUGACUUACCCACGAGGAGGAUUCUGACGGCGGCGAUGAAGGUAGGUCAAUUCUGGCGUGAAUGCAUCCAUUCCUUUUCUCUUUUCUUUCACGAUCGAUCCUUCUCCUUCUUUCGUUCUGUGAGUGUGAGGCGUUUUUUGGAAGCUGCUGAAACCAGGUUUUGGUUCAUGUGUUGAGAAAUUGGGCUUUUUUUUGCCCAAGAAUUGGAUGGCCCAUGCGUUCUUACUACACCUCCUUAUCCAUUAUACACCCCAAAACCCAUUGAAUUAAUUAUUAUUGAUCCUAAUUAGCUCAUGGUUAACCAUGGUGAUUUUAUUUAACUUUUGUUAAUUAGAAUUGACACUGAUAUUGCUUGUUAGGGUUAAAUUUAGGAUAUUCUUGAAUUUUUGUUUGUUAAUUAGGAAUUGAUAUAGUUUUGAUAAUUAGGUUAAUUCAUAAUUAGAUUAAUUAGAGUAAUUAGGUUUAAUUAGGUUUAAUUGAUUGUUAG